UUAAGCGACUAAGCGUACACGGUGGAUGCCCUGGCAGUCAGAGGCGAUGAAGGACGUGCUAAUCUGCGAUAAGCGUCGGUAAGGUGAUAUGAACCGUUAUAACCGGCGAUUUCCGAAUGGGGAAACCCAGUGUGUUUCGACACACUAUCAUUAACUGAAUCCAUAGGUUAAUGAGGCGAACCGGGGGAACUGAAACAUCUAAGUACCCCGAGGAAAAGAAAUCAACCGAGAUUCCCCCAGUAGCGGCGAGCGAACGGGGAGCAGCCCAGAGCCUGAAUCAGUGUGUGUGUUAGUGGAAGCGUCUGGAAAGGCGCGCGAUACAGGGUGACAGCCCCGUACACAAAAAUGCACAUAUUGUGAGCUCGAUGAGUAGGGCGGGACACGUGGUAUCCUGUCUGAAUAUGGGGGGACCAUCCUCCAAGGCUAAAUACUCCUGACUGACCGAUAGUGAACCAGUACCGUGAGGGAAAGGCGAAAAGAACCCCGGCGAGGGGAGUGAAAAAGAACCUGAAACCGUGUACGUACAAGCAGUGGGAGCCUCUUUUAUGGGGUGACUGCGUACCUUUUGUAUAAUGGGUCAGCGACUUAUAUUCUGUAGCAAGGUUAACCGAAUAGGGGAGCCGAAGGGAAACCGAGUCUUAACUGGGCGUUAAGUUGCAGGGUAUAGACCCGAAACCCGGUGAUCUAGCCAUGGGCAGGUUGAAGGUUGGGUAACACUAACUGGAGGACCGAACCGACUAAUGUUGAAAAAUUAGCGGAUGACUUGUGGCUGGGGGUGAAAGGCCAAUCAAACCGGGAGAUAGCUGGUUCUCCCCGAAAGCUAUUUAGGUAGCGCCUCGUGAAUUCAUCUCCGGGGGUAGAGCACUGUUUCGGCAAGGGGGUCAUCCCGACUUACCAACCCGAUGCAAACUGCGAAUACCGGAGAAUGUUAUCACGGGAGACACACGGCGGGUGCUAACGUCCGUCGUGAAGAGGGAAACAACCCAGACCGCCAGCUAAGGUCCCAAAGUCAUGGUUAAGUGGGAAACGAUGUGGGAAGGCCCAGACAGCCAGGAUGUUGGCUUAGAAGCAGCCAUCAUUUAAAGAAAGCGUAAUAGCUCACUGGUCGAGUCGGCCUGCGCGGAAGAUGUAACGGGGCUAAACCAUGCACCGAAGCUGCGGCAGCGACACUGUGUGUUGUUGGGUAGGGGAGCGUUCUGUAAGCCUGUGAAGGUAUGCUGUGAGGCAUGCUGGAGGUAUCAGAAGUGCGAAUGCUGACAUAAGUAACGAUAAAGCGGGUGAAAAGCCCGCUCGCCGGAAGACCAAGGGUUCCUGUCCAACGUUAAUCGGGGCAGGGUGAGUCGACCCCUAAGGCGAGGCCGAAAGGCGUAGUCGAUGGGAAACAGGUUAAUAUUCCUGUACUUGGUGUUACUGCGAAGGGGGGACGGAGAAGGCUAUGUUGGCCGGGCGACGGUUGUCCCGGUUUAAGCGUGUAGGCUGGUUUUCCAGGCAAAUCCGGAAAAUCAAGGCUGAGGCGUGAUGACGAGGCACUACGGUGCUGAAGCAACAAAUGCCCUGCUUCCAGGAAAAGCCUCUAAGCAUCAGGUAACAUCAAAUCGUACCCCAAACCGACACAGGUGGUCAGGUAGAGAAUACCAAGGCGCUUGAGAGAACUCGGGUGAAGGAACUAGGCAAAAUGGUGCCGUAACUUCGGGAGAAGGCACGCUGAUAUGUAGGUGAAGUCCCUCGCGGAUGGAGCUGAAAUCAGUCGAAGAUACCAGCUGGCUGCAACUGUUUAUUAAAAACACAGCACUGUGCAAACACGAAAGUGGACGUAUACGGUGUGACGCCUGCCCGGUGCCGGAAGGUUAAUUGAUGGGGUCAGCGCAAGCGAAGCUCUUGAUCGAAGCCCCGGUAAACGGCGGCCGUAACUAUAACGGUCCUAAGGUAGCGAAAUUCCUUGUCGGGUAAGUUCCGACCUGCACGAAUGGCGUAAUGAUGGCCAGGCUGUCUCCACCCGAGACUCAGUGAAAUUGAACUCGCUGUGAAGAUGCAGUGUACCCGCGGCAAGACGGAAAGACCCCGUGAACCUUUACUAUAGCUUGACACUGAACAUUGAGCCUUGAUGUGUAGGAUAGGUGGGAGGCUUUGAAGUGUGGACGCCAGUCUGCAUGGAGCCGACCUUGAAAUACCACCCUUUAAUGUUUGAUGUUCUAACGUUGACCCGUGAUCCGGGUUGCGGACAGUGUCUGGUGGGUAGUUUGACUGGGGCGGUCUCCUCCUAAAGAGUAACGGAGGAGCACGAAGGUUGGCUAAUCCUGGUCGGACAUCAGGAGGUUAGUGCAAUGGCAUAAGCCAGCUUGACUGCGAGCGUGACGGCGCGAGCAGGUGCGAAAGCAGGUCAUAGUGAUCCGGUGGUUCUGAAUGGAAGGGCCAUCGCUCAACGGAUAAAAGGUACUCCGGGGAUAACAGGCUGAUACCGCCCAAGAGUUCAUAUCGACGGCGGUGUUUGGCACCUCGAUGUCGGCUCAUCACAUCCUGGGGCUGAAGUAGGUCCCAAGGGUAUGGCUGUUCGCCAUUUAAAGUGGUACGCGAGCUGGGUUUAGAACGUCGUGAGACAGUUCGGUCCCUAUCUGCCGUGGGCGCUGGAGAACUGAGGGGGGCUGCUCCUAGUACGAGAGGACCGGAGUGGACGCAUCACUGGUGUUCGGGUUGUCAUGCCAAUGGCACUGCCCGGUAGCUAAAUGCGGAAGAGAUAAGUGCUGAAAGCAUCUAAGCACGAAACUUGCCCCGAGAUGAGUUCUCCCUGACCCUUUAAGGGUCCUGAAGGAACGUUGAAGACGACGACGUUGAUAGGCCGGGUGUGUAAGCGCAGCGAUGCGUUGAGCUAACCGGUACUAAUGAACCGUGAGGCUUAACCUU
rnacentral:rRNA from 1 species